GAUGAACGCUGGCGGCGUGCCUAACACAUGCAAGUCGAACGGAGUCGUUUUGGAAAUCUCUUCGGAGAUGGAAUUCUCGACUUAGUGGCGGACGGGUGAGUAACGCGUGAGCAAUCUGCCUUUAAGAGGGGGAUAACAGUCGGAAACGGCUGCUAGUACCGCAUAAAGCAUUAAAUUCGCAUGUUUUUGAUGCCAAAGGAGCAAUCCGCUUUUAGAUGAGCUCGCGUCUGAUUAGCUAGUUGGCGGGGUAACGGCCCACCAAGGCGACGAUCAGUAGCCGGACUGAGAGGUGGAACGGCCACAUUGGGACUGAGACACGGCCCAAACUCCUACGGGAGGCAGCAGUGGGGAAUAUUGCGCAAUGGGGGAAACCCUGACGAAGCAACGCCGCGUGAUUGAAGAAGGCCUUCGGGUUGUAAAGAUCUUUAAUCAGGGACGAAACAAAUGACGGUACCUGAAGAAUAAGCUCCGGCUAACUACGUG
rnacentral:rRNA from 1 species